rnacentral:rRNA from 1 species
UAACGGCGAGUGAAGCGGUAACAGCUCAAAUUUGAAAUCUGGCCUCACGGUCCGAGUUGUAAUUUGUAGAGGAUGCUUCGAGCAUGGUCUGGCCUAAGUUCCUUGGAACAGGACGUCAUAGAGGGUGAGAAUCCCGUAUGCGGCCAGGUGCCUACGCUCAUGUGAAGCUCCUUCGACGAGUCGAGUUGUUUGGGAAUGCAGCUCAAAAUGGGUGGUAAAUUUCAUCUAAAGCUAAAUAUUGGCCAGAGACCGAUAGCGCACAAGUAGAGUGAUCGAAAGAUGAAAAGCACUUUGGAAAGAGAGUUAAACAGUACGUGAAAUUGUUGAAAGGGAAGCGCUUGCAACCAGACUUGCGCGCGGCCGAUCAUCCGGUGUUCUCACCGGUGCACUCGGCCGUGCUCAGGCCAGCAUCGGUUUUGGCGGCUGGAUAAAGGCCCUAGGAAUGUAGCUCCUCUCGGGGAGUGUUAUAGCCUAGGGUGCAAUGCAGCCUGCUGGGACCGAGGACCGCGCUUCGGCUAGGAUGCUGGCGUAAUGGUUGUAAGCGGCCCGUCUUGAAACACGGACCAAGGAGUCUAACAUCUAUGCGAGUGUUUGGGUGUCAAACCCAUACGCGUAAUGAAAGUGAACGGAGGUGAGAACCCUUAAGGGUGCAUCAUCGACCGGUCCUGAAGUUUACGGAAGGAUCUGAGUAAGAGCAUAGCUGUUGGGACCCGAAAGAUGGUGAACUAUGCCU